rnacentral:rRNA from 1 species
UACGUAGGGUGCAAGCGUUAAUCGGAAUUACUGGGCGUAAAGCGUGCGCAGGCGGUUAUGCAAGACAGGUGUGAAAUCCCCGGGCUCAACCUGGGAACUGCAUUUGUGACUGCAAGGCUAGAGUACGGCAGAGGGGGAUGGAAUUCCGCGUGUAGCAGUGAAAUGCGUAGAUAUGCGGAGGAACACCAAUGGCGAAGGCAAUCCCCUGGGCCUGUACUGACGCUCAUGCACGAAAGCGUGGGGAGCAAACAGG